rnacentral:tRNA from 2 species
GCGCCCGUAGCUCAGUUGGAUAGAGUGCCGCCCUCCGAAGGCGGAGGUCACAGGUUCGAUUCCUGUCGGGCGCGCCA